rnacentral:rRNA from 1 species
AGUGAACGCUGGCGGUAGGCCUAACACAUGCAAGUCGAACGGCAGCACAGUAAGAGCCUGCUCUUACGGGUGGCGAGUGGCGGACGGGUGAGGAAUACAUCGGAAUCUACUUUUUCGUGGGGGAUAACGUAGGGAAACUUACGCUAAUACCGCAUACGACCUACGGGUGAAAGCAGGGGAUCUUCGGACCUUGCGCGAUUGAAUGAGCCGAUGUCGGAUUGGCUAGUUGGCGGGGUAAAGGCCCACCAAGGCGACGAUCCGUAGCUGGUCUGAGAGGAUGAUCAGCCACACUGGAACUGAGACACGGUCCAGACUCCUACGGGAGGCAGCAGUGGGGAAUAUUGGACAAUGGGCGCAAGCCUGAUCCAGCCAUACCGCGUGGGUGAAGAAGGCCUUCGGGUUGUAAAGCCCUUUUGUUGGGAAAGAAAAGCAGCAGGUUAAUACCCCGCUGUCCUGACGGUACCCAAAGAAUAAGCACCGGCUAACUUCGUG